GGCGGACGGGUGAGUAAUAUAUAGAUAACGUGCCUCUUAGUCUGGGAUAGCCAUUGGAAACGAUGAUUAAUACUAGAUACUCCUUCUUAUCACAUGAUAAGUCGGGAAAGUUUUUUCGCUAAGAGAUCGGUCUAUAUCGCAUCAGUUAGUUGGUGGGGUAACGGCCUACCAAGACAAUGACGCGUAGCGGGUUUGAGAGGAUGAUCCGCCACACUGGUACUGAGACACGGACCAGACUCCUACGGGAGGCAGCAGUGAGGAAUAUUGCACAAUGGGGGAAACCCUGAUGCAGCAACGCCGCGUGGAGGAUGACGCAUUUCGGUGUGUAAACUCCUUUUAUGAGUCAAGAAAAUGACGGUAGCUCAUGAAUAAGCACCGGCUAACUCCGUGCCAGCAGCCGCGGUAAUACGGAGGGUGCAAGCGUUACUCGGAAUCACUGGGCGUAAAGGACGCGUAGGCGGGUUAUCAAGUCAGGUGUGAAAUCCUAUGGCUCAACCAUAGAACUGCACUUGAAACUGGUAACCUAGAGUAUGGGAGGGGCAGAUGGAAUUAGUAGUGUAGGGGUAAAAUCCGUAGAUAUUACUAGGAAUACCGAAAGCGAAGGCGAUCUGCUGGAACAUUACUGACGCUAAGGCGUGAAAGCGUGGGGAGCAAACGGGAUUAGAUACCCCGGUAGUCCACGCCCUAAACGAUGAACACUAGUCGUCGGGGAGCUAGUCUCUUCGGUGAUGCACUUAACAGAUUAA
rnacentral:rRNA from 1 species